rnacentral:lncRNA from 1 species
GCCCAUCUAUUCCUGGAGAUUUAUUUAAUUUCAUUUGAAAUAUUGCCUUAGUGCAUUCUUCUACUGUUAAAGGGCCCCCCAAGGAUUCACUUUCUAUUUCUGAUAGUUUGUGAUCAAUGUUGGUUUCAUUUAUGUAAUUUUUUAUAUCUUUUAAAUUUGGAGAAGUGCUUUUAUAUAGAUUUUCAUAGUAUGAUCUUUCUAUGUUUAGAAUUUCUGAGUGUUCUGUAACUAUUUUCCCAUCUUUAUUUUUAAGCGCUGUGAUACUUUUUUGGUUUGUCUUGAUUUUUCAAGGCCCAGGAAGAAUUUAGUGUUUUUCUCUCCUUCUUCUAACCAUUGUACUCGGGAUCUUAUUUGUGCACCUUUAACUUUAUUUAAGUAGAGGUUUUCAAGUUUUUCUUCCAUGGUUUUAAUUUCUUUUUCCAUAGUUGGGCUUACAUUUGUUUUUUCAUUUAAUUUUCUUAAUUUUGUUUCUAAAUUUUUUAUAUCAUUUUUAUUUUCAGAUGAUCUUUGUUUGCAGUAAGUAAGAGUUGCGGUUCUUACCUCUGAUUUAAACAUAUCCCAAAGUGUUUUCAAAUUUUUGGUGAGUAUUUGUUUUUUUAUAGUUUUCGAUUAAUUUAUUUAUGAGAUCAAUAUAUUUUUGCUCUUUAAGUAUACUAUUAUUUAUUUUAAAGAAUCCCCUGCCUCUUUCUUCCGAAUUUUGUCUUACUUGUAAAGAAAUGGCUUGGUGAUCAGUAUAUGAUAUCAUUGCAGGUCGAAUAUCUGCUUUCAUAACAUGCGGUCUUAUAUCAGGACUUAUUAGAAAGAAGUCAAUUCUACUGGCUAUUUUUGUAUCAUUUUUCCUUCUCCAUGUGAAUUGACUUGUAUUUGGAUGAAGUUCUCUCCAUAUAUCUGUUAAAAUUAUUUUUCUUUAUUAAUUUUUUAAAACUAUUCACUGGUUUGUAGUUUCGAGAGAUAUUAUUAGUUUUUUUUAUCAUUAAUUGAUAGGGUUUCGUUCAUGUCACCUCCAAGUAUAAGAAUACCCAAGCGAUUGUUUUCAAUUAUAUUUUGGACCUUUUUGAAAAAUUUGUUUCUGUUUUUGUGUUGAUUUGGAGCAUAUACAUUUAUUAAAGUAAAAAUGUUUUCAUUUAUUUCUAUGUUAAUCAAAAUUAUUCUGCCUUCUGUAUCUUUUAUCUCAUUUAUUGUCUUACAUUUUAAAUUAUUUUUCACAUAGAUUGAUACCCCCUUUGAUUGUGUGUUACCAUAACUAUGGAACAUUUUGCCAUCAAACUCAUAAUUUAU